GCUUGUAGUAACCUUAAUAUAAGCCAUGUUCUGAUCACAUGUAUGGUUCCUUAUGUUAAUUCUCCAAGACAUACUGUAUUUGAGGGGAGAGUGUGAGGUGUGCAGUGGGUGGUUAAAGCAGGUAUAAUGUUGUAGUUUUAACAGGUGUAGGUGAGACAGUGUUGUAGUUUUAACAGGUGUAGGUGAGACGGUGUUGUAGUUUUAACAGGUGUAGGUGAGACAGUGUUGUAGUUUUAACAGGUGUAGGUGAGACAGUGUUGUAGUUUUAACAGGUGUAGGUGAGACAGUGUUGUAGUUUUAACAGGUGUAGGUGAGACAGUGUUGUAGUUUUAACAGGUGUAGGUGAGACAGUGUUGUAGUUUUAACAGGUGUAGGUGAGACAGUGUUGUAGUUUUAACAGGUGUAGGUGAGACAGUGUUGUAGUUUUAACAGGUGUAGGUGAGACAGUGUUGUAGUUUUAACAGGUGUAGGUGAGACAGUGUUGUAGUUUUAACAGGUGUAGGUGAGACAGUGUUGUAGUUUUAACAGGUGUAGGUGAGACAGUGUUGUAGUUUUAACAGGUGUAGGUGAGACAGUGUUGUAGUUUUAACAGGUGUAGGUGAGACAGUGUUGUAGUUUUAACAGGUGUAGGUGAGACAGUGUUGUAGUUUUAACAGGUGUAGGUGAGACAGUGUUGUAGUUUUAACAGGUGUAGGUGAGACAGUGUUGUAGUUUUAACAGGUGUAGGUGAGACAGUGUUGUAGUUUUAACAGGUGUAGGUGAGACAGUGUUGUAGUUUUAACAGGUGUACGUGAGACAGUGUUGUAGUUUUAACAGGUGUAGGUGAGACAGUGUUGUAGUUUACACAGGUGUAGGAGAGAGUAGAUAGAAAGAAAGAAAAAGUAGAGCUGGUAUAUGGCUCAUAUCUUUUUGGGAAAGGCUAGAAUCAAGCCGUUUUCUCAGAGGAAACGAGGGAGACUUGGUUAUAGUGGCUACAGAACCUGGCUAUGAAAUGCAGUGGGGAAAGUAAGAGGGUUGAACGAGACCACACAUUCAAAGAUGGCCUACUUUUCUAUAGUAGAGGGUUAGAAAAACAUAGCUCGACUGUUGUGUCACUA